rnacentral:rRNA from 1 species
GUUGCCUACGGGGCGCAGCAGUGGGGAAUAUUGGGCAAUGGGCGCAAGCCUGACCCAGCAACGCCGCGUGAAGGAAGAAGGCUUUCGGGUUGUAAACUUCUUUUAUCAGGGACGAAGCAAGUGACGGUACCUGAUGAAUAAGCCACGGCUAACUACGUGCCAGCAGCCGCGGUAAUACGUAGGUGGCAAGCGUUAUCCGGAUUUACUGGGUGUAAAGGGCGUGUAGGCGGGAGUGCAAGUCAGAUGUGAAAACUAUGGGUUCAACCCAUAGCCUGCAUUUGAAAC